ACGCUCGACACCUACGGGACGCAGCAGUGGGGAAUAUUGCACAAUGGGGGAAACCCUGAUGCAGCGACGCCGCGUGGAGGAAGAAGGUCUUCGGAUUGUAAACUCCUGUUGUUGGGGAAAAAGAGGAUGGUACCCAACAAGGAAGUGACGGCUAACUACGUGCUAGCAGCCGCGGUAAUCUGAGGCGGGCUGGCAAGGC
rnacentral:rRNA from 1 species